UGGGCCCAGUCCCACCUCAGGCACAGGGCCAGCUCCCAAACCAGCCCUUUCAUGGAUUGUGGCAGAUGCAAGAAAAGCCACCUUCUGGACUCUAUCCUGGCUGGGCCUGUUGUUCCAGCCGAAGCCCCCCAGAGGACAUGGGAGUUGUGGGGCAAUGACCACUGCCUCAGGGACCUUGGACUCCUGAUGGGACAAAGCUGUGAGCGGUAGCAGGAAGCUAUGAGCAGACAGGCCAGGCCCAAGGCCCACUGGGCUGCUUGCUGCUUAGACAGCCUCAGGCAAGUGCCCUACCCUCGUACAGCCUCCGCUUCUCCAUCUGUCCUCUGGCGAUGACCACAAAGGCAUCCUGGGCAUUUGCCACUUGCUGUGGGCUUUGCCAGACCUCAGACAUAUUCACAGGCACCAGCUCAAUAUCAUCCUUGCCCUAAGUCCCCGGGGAGGUUGGUGUGCCCCUUUGAAGAAGGGGAUGAAGAAACCAAGACUCUGAGACAUCAAAGCACUUGCUCAGGGUCACACAGCUGGUGAACCGCGAUUCUCCCCGCAAGCAAUCUCACUCCAGAGGCAUGUGAUCGACUGGGCUAGAAGUUACUCAUGGGGAUGCUAGGAAAAUCACACCAAUAACAAUCUCCACCAUCGUAAUAUGAGCUAAUACUUACUCUCUACGUGCCAGGCUCCUCACUGUUUCUGACUCAAUCUUCAUGACAACCCUGAGAGCUGGGUGUUAGCAUGGGAAGCUGGCCAGCUGCAGAUCCCUGAGACCUGUCCCUGCUUCUCCCUCCACUGGUUCUACCUGGGAACGCGUCUCCUGCGCAUCCUCCUCCAUCUGCCCCUCUGGCCUCACCUUGAUCAAAGUCACCACUUCUUACCUGGCCCAAUGCAACAGCCACCCACUCUCUUUUCUGAGAGCAUUUGGGAGCACAGGUGAAGAUAACUGAGGCUCACAGAAGUUAAGAAACUGGUCCGAGUUUACACAGCUGGGAAGUGGUGGUGCCAAGAUUCGAACCCAUGAAGACGGGCUUCAAAAAGCCACCUUCUCAGUACAAAGGGGACAUCAGUAUCAAUCCACACCCACCCCUUACAGACAAAGGGACAAGAGACAUCGGAGAGACAGGAUGAUGGGACCAGGCAUUCACCACCCAGGGAAGCAGAGUGAUUUACAGUUUGUUGUCAUUUU